AGAGUUUGAUCUUGGCUCAGGAUGAACGCUAGCGGCAGGCCUAAUACAUGCAAGUCGAACGAUAUUGAGGUGCUUGCAUCUCAAGAAAGUGGCGCACGGGUGCGUAACGCGUAUGCAACCUACCUUAAUCAGGGGGAUAGCCCGGAGAAAUCCGGAUUAACACCGCAUAAAAUCACAGUACAGCAUUGUACAAUGAUCAAAUAUUUAUAGGAUUAAGAUGGGCAUGCGUGUCAUUAGCUAGUUGGCGGGGUAACGGCCCACCAAGGCGACGAUGACUAGGGGAUCUGAGAGGAUGACCCCCCACACUGGUACUGAGACACGGACCAGACUCCUACGGGAGGCAGCAGUAAGGAAUAUUGGUCAAUGGAGGCAACUCUGAACCAGCCAUGCCGCGUGCAGGAAGACGGCCCUCUGGGUUGUAAACUGCUUUUAUUCGGGAAUAAACCUCAUUACGUGUAAUGAGCUGAAUGUACCGAAGGAAUAAGGAUCGGCUAACUCCGUGCCAGCAGCCGCGGUAAUACGGAGGAUCCAAGCGUUAUCCGGAUUUAUUGGGUUUAAAGGGUGCGUAGGCGGCCUGUUAAGUCAGGGGUGAAAGACGGUGGCUCAACCAUCGCAGUGCCCUUGAUACUGAUGGGCUUGAAUGAACUAGAGGUAGGCGGAAUGUGACAAGUAGCGGUGAAAUGCAUAGAUAUGUCACAGAACACCGAUUGCGAAGGCAGCUUACUAUGGUUUUAUUGACGCUGAGGCACGAAAGCGUGGGGAUCAAACAGGAUUAGAUACCCUGGUAGUCCACGCCCUAAACGAUGAAUACUCGCUGUUAGCGAUAUACAGUUAGCGGCUAAGCGAAAGCGUUAAGUAUUCCACCUGGGGAGUACGCCCGCAAGGGUGAAACUCAAAAGAAUUGACGG
rnacentral:rRNA from 1 species